rnacentral:sRNA from 1 species
CCCUAGCCCUGAUAGAAGUGGAAAUCCUUUUUUGCCGCUUCUUUAGCGGGACAAAAGAUUGCAACGGAUAGCAGGAAACAGC